GACGAACGCUGGCGGCGUGCCUAACACAUGCAAGUCGAACGGAUUGAAGGGGCUUGCUCCUUCAGUUAGUGGCGCACGGGUGAGUAACGCGUAGAUAAUCUGCCUGAUGAUCUGGGAUAACAGUUCGAAAGGACUGCUAAUACCGGAUAAGCCCACGUGGUCUUUGGACCGUGCGGGAAAAGGGGGGGACCUUCGGGCCUUCUGUCAUCAGAUGAGUCUGCGUACCAUUAGCUAGUUGGUAGGGUAAUGGCCUACCAAGGCUACGGUGGUUAGCUGGUUUGAGAGAAUGAUCAGCCACACUGGAACUGGGACACGGUCCAGACUCCUACGGGCGGCAGCAGUGGGGAAUUUUGCGCAAUGGGCGAAAGCCUGACGCAGCAACGCCGCGUGAGUGAUGAAGGCUUUCGGGCCGUAAAGCUCUGUCGAGGGGAAAGAAGUGUAUUGUGGUUAAUACCCGCGAUACUUGACGGUACCCCUAAAGGAAGCACCGGCUAACUCCGUGCCAGCCGCCGCAGUAAUAC
rnacentral:rRNA from 1 species